rnacentral:lncRNA from 1 species
GAUUAGUUAAAAAAAUUAAGGAGGGAUUCGAAUCAGUACAGACACAAUGACUGAUUAUAUAGAAAAAUUGAGAUUAAGAGAGAGAGAUCCGAAUCAGAAACUGAGACAAUGACUGAUUAUAUAGCGUAAAAUAGCAGUGACUAGGAAUUAACAACAACUUUUAAUCACACAAACAAAAAAAGGAAAAAAGAAAAAGAGAAAGGAGACGUGAAUUAAUAGUAGUAGCGAAUGCGUCAGUCGCUUCAGCUAGCACUGGUCUGAGAAUAACAUAAAAUUGCUCAAAUAAAUAACACUAGUAAACUACUAGAAUAGAAUAAACAACUCAGAAACUUAUCUCCCGUGGGAGAUUAGACUAUCAAUAUUCAUUGCCACUCUUUUGGUUACACUUUGUCACUAGAUGUGAAAAAGCUUAAUUACCAAGGCGUAUAAGCUUCUUGACCCGGCGCACCAGCCGCGAGCGAGGUUUCCCUCGCUUCGGAUUUGAUCCGCCGGGCUGUCUUGGCCCAUUAACAUUAGUAGGAGGCGUUUGAAUGUUGUUUUGCUCAUUUUGUGAUUGGGAGUACCCUGGGGGGUAUGUAAACUUUUCCUCCAUCCACUCUGACUUUUGUUCAAAGACAAUCUUAGAUGCUGGGCAAGAUUUAAACAUUUCCUCCAUCUAGUCAGACUGGUUUAGCUCAUAAACAACUGCAUCAGGAAUUGUUAUCCUGAGCUCUUCACUGGACUGGCUAGUGUGGGUCCGUUUGCGCUUUGAUUCUGAUUGUUGUGGCCGACGUCGUUUACGCUUGCGCUUUGAUUCUGAUUGUUGUGGCCGGCGUAAUUGGCAUUGGCUUUGUUAGUUUUGGUCUGCAGAUUCAUCCUUUGAUUUUGGUGUAUGAGUGGCUUGGAUACGUGUGGUUUCUGCUUGGGUUUCAUCAGGUUCUUUCUCAGGACUAGUACUACUCAUGAUUUGUUCUCAGCAAAAUAUUUGCUCUGUGUAAAUGACUAGCUAGCAAAGCUAAUUGACGUCUGCUAUAUAUGCUACAAAAACCAUCAGAGACUUAAUAGAGAUUGUAAAUGACUAGCGACUGAUAAUCUAGAUUGUAGUCAAGAAAAUCAAGUUAUUAAUACAAUUGAUAGAGAAGCAAACAUAUUCAUGAUGAAACCUCUCAGAAAUCGCGAUGAAGGUGGGGGUGGAACUUCUUCUCUACUUCCGUGAAACUUAUUUUCCACCGAAAUUGAAAGAAUUCUGAUUCACAAUCAUGAAUCGAUGGGGUUGAUGAGAUUGACGUGUCAUUAAAUUUUCUUGCGGACAAGUUCUUGAGUUUUUGAUGAAAUUGAAUGUUGACUAAUUAAUGAUACAAAGAAGAGCUCAUCGUCAAGUCUUUGACAUAAGGAAAAAGAACGGGCUCCAAAAUUGUACUGUAUGGGUUGACUAGACUUGACUUCACAUUCUGCACGGGCAUGGCUAAUAAAACACAAAUCUUUCUUACUUUGCGAAGUUUCUUCGAAAUGUUUCUACCACCGCAAACAAAGGCAUGAAUUUUAUAUUAGUUUGGUAAAAAGACAUCUACACCCUCAUGAUUUGAGAAAAUAAUUACUUAUACCCUCAAAUUUUUGAAGAGGUACACCAAUACCCUUUUUGACCAUUAUACCCACUACUUAUGAUAUUAUAAAAAAUUGGCUUUAGUAUCUUUAGUAAAUAUAAAUACGAUAUAAAUAAUGUAAUCCAUGCAUUACACUAAAAGUAUUAAAAUAUUUUAAUAUUUAAUAAAUUUUAAUAUGUAAUAACUUGCAUUUCAGAACCCUCUUUGUGGUUUUUUCAAUACUAAAUACUAAUUUGAUUUUUCUGCUGUACGGCCAAGGCGGAUGUACGGUACAGCAGAAAAUGUAUAUAUUAUUACAUUUAUUUUAAUAUUAUAUUUCUACUUAUUGUAAAAUAUUAGAGUUAAUUUUUUGGGAUAAUAAAGGUAAGAGUAUAAUAAUAGUCAAAAGAAAAUCUUGAUAUUCCUCUUUAAAAACUUUGGGGAGGUGUUGGUGAUUAUUUUCUCAAAUCUUAGGGGUGUAGAUGUCUUUUUUUGUGCUAUUGUUAAUAGUGUGAAUCAGUCCAAGUUGUCAGUUUGGGCCUAAGCCCAGAAGUUCAAUCCAAGUUAUAUGAAUUUUGGCAAAUUUGUGUAUACGAAUUGUUAGAUUCCACCGCUUGUUACACCUGUCAAUAUUUGAUAUCUGCGGCGGAACAAAUGAAUCUCCAAUCACUAUUGUUUGUACCAUUCGUCCCAUAUGCUUCAAUCCGGUAGGAAAAUAGUUGUAGUGUACUAAAUGGUCCAAAUGUUUGAUUUUAUUUAUGGGAUAAACAUCAACUUGAGAGACAAUCUCUUCGGAAUCCUUUCCCUGAUGCUAUUCCAUUUAAAAAACGCCAUCACCAAUUCACCAUCAUCCAUCAGCCAUCAUCUAGAAUAGAUAUUUAAAAAGACUACUAAUCACCAUCAUCCAUCCAUAUGCCAUACUGAUGCAACAAUCUUAUAAAAGCAUAAAAAACCACAAGAUCAAACUUAAGAUAUAGGGGCAAGUGUUAGAAACAAUUCUUAUAAGGAUCCUCCUAUCUUACAUGCAUAUAAGAUACAUCUCCCUCACAUGAACAGUGUGUGAAUACUAUUCAUGUGAGGGGAAUGUAUCUUAUAUACACGUAAGAUAGGAAUUGCCUUCUUAUAAAUGCAUAUAUCACGCAUCAUCUGUGAUAAAGAAUAAAUUUCCCAAUAAAAAUAUAUUUAUGAUAUAUCAUCAAAUUUUAUCAUGACGCAGGCUGAUUAUACUUCGGAAGAAAAUAAAAUACGUACACAUACUAUAAAGCUAAUUCACGUACAUAAUCAAACGAUGCCAAAAAAAAAAAAAAAAACAACCUGACUCGCAAGCCGCUGCCUCCGAGAGCGAGCCAUGCAUGGCACCGGAUUGCUAAUUUGGUUUGCUCCGGGCUGACGUGGCCUGUUAUUGGGAGUCGUACAUUGUGAAUUUGUGAGGACGUGCUCAAUGAAUUAAUGCUGUGAAAUUAACUUUUCAUCAUAUUUUACUUUAGAGUGCGCCAAUUUCACGGUAAUAAUCAUUGAAUGUACGAAUGAUCUAAUUCUUAACAUUAGAUUGAAUCCAUUGCUUAAUAUUAGAUUGAAUCAAUUGUAAAGCAUAUAUAUUUUAACAAAUAUUCACAGCUUUGGAGAUUUAAAGUUAGCUAUAAGCUUAUAUAUAUAUUUGAAUUAUUAACAUUAAAAUAAAUAUUCACCUGCCCAAUUAAAACCAUGAUUGGUUUGUUGUGCACACACUACAAGAAAAAAGAUCUAUUAUGACAGGCAAAAAUUGUCAUCUUAAGGGGUAGAUGAUGGUUUUCCUUACCAUCACUAUAGUCAGCAUCAAGAAAAGAUGACAAACAAAAACUAAUCACGAGUUGUGAUAGAUUUUACCUAUCAUAAUUCUGUCAUACUAUUUAUAUGAGGAAAAUUGAUUUUUUAAAAACUUUUGGUGGAAAAUUUUAAAUUUUAUGAAAUUAAAAUUGUAAUUAUUUUUUUGGACAAAAGUUGUGUGUCAUAUGUUGACUGAUAUUUUCUAUCGCAAUUUAAAAAAAAUUGAUUAUUUAUUAAUUUAAAAAUAAAAAUUUAUGCAAUUUCAGCUGCUUCAAUUUAAAAUUUAAAUUAUUAAAUUUAUAUGAAAGAAAGUAAAUUACUAAAUGCAAUCAAAUCCAAAACUAAUGAAUCAAAUUAGUUAACUUUAUUAUCCAUAAAAAUAACUAAAGUACAAAAGCAUACAAUUCAAGCUUUACACUACAUAAGUUAAACAAUAUUCCAAAGUUAAGCCAAUAAAAAACAAAGGCUAAUCCAAAACCAAGCAAAACACAUAGCAUUCAGCAACAUCAGCACCAAAGCUAUGCAAAUGUAGUCCUUUUCCAGCAGCCCUAAGCCAAGUAAAAUGUACCCCAUUUCAUCAAUUAAAAAUAUCCAAAAAAAUAAGUAUUUACACAUGAAAAUAAUAGAAUAUGAAAAUAUUCAGUGAAGAAUAAGGCCAAGCCCUUUUUUUCUGUUCUCUAAAGUAAGGCAUUAAAAAGGAUUGAAGCAAUUUACGCAACAAAAUAAAUAAAAAUAUAAAUUAUAUAGUACUAUUAGUUGUGUAUAACACCUACCACAUAGACAAAGCAUCCACAGCAAUCUCUGCGUUCUGCAGUUUCCUGCAUUAAGUAAUGAUAUAUAAAUAGAAUUAAAAUCAAUAGCUAUAGUUGUAAUUCUUAGGCCAAAUCAAAUGUUAUGUACUUAAGUUCAUGAUUCUUUAAGUUUUGUUCUCUUUAGCAUGCCUUCCUACUGGUAAUCAUCUCAUGCCUUAUUAAAGUUUAAUACUGUUUGAAUUAGAAUAUUCCAAGAAUUUGAGUGAAUGCUAGAAUUAGAACUCUUUAAGAUUAAUGCAUUGCAUGAUCAGCCUCAGCAAACUUAUCAAUCAAUGUUUGCAUGCCCGAAAAAGAGACUAAAAAGAAAAAAAAGAAUUAAAGAACAACUAAUAUAAGCAAUUCCUUACUUGAAAUGCUUGAUAUCACAUUUUAAAAUAAAAAUAAACACAACAAAGUUUCCUUACCCAAAUUUACACGAACAUCAUCAUCAACUUCGAUACCACAGGAAAAGGGAUUCCCCCACUUCCCCGAGCCCCCUUACCUACAAAAUUCUGCAACCCCCUUGGAAAAAGCAGUAGCAAAAAUAGGUUUUUCUCUUGGCUGACAAUUCCAAGUAGCCCUUUAUAUGUUCCUGUUUGUAUAGUCCCAACAAACAAAUGAGAAGAUUUAUCAGAAUUUUCGAAAUAUAUUUUAAGACUAACAGGAUUGUGAAUAAACACCAACAAGAGCAUCAAAGGAACAAGAAAGAAACAUCACCAGCCUUAAGAAGUCUCCAUGCUUCCUCUGCUUCAAUAGCUUUAUCAAGAAUUACCCCUGAUGUUGCACUAGCGAAAAAAUUAUAUUCAAUGAAUAAAUAAUCAGAAACUUCAAAGUCUGUAGUUAACUAAAUUACCAAUGACGAUUAAGAGAUUCUCUCCGCAAAUUAUUCAAGAAACUUUUGCAGAUAAUAUUAAUUAUAUUUUGCAGCAAUUUUUCAAUAUUCUCCCACUGAAAGAUCAAGCAUUACGAGCCAAAAAGCAAACACAGGGAAUUACUUGAGUAGCAACUUAACCAUUUGUCACAAGUACAAGACUUUUCAAUCCAAAAGAAGGCUAAAUUGUAGAAUAAAAUCUAAUUCUAUCAUUAAAGCCCAAAAGAACAUUAUUAACUAGAUUUGUAAAUUUCUUGAAUCUUAAAACGAAAAAGUUCAUUCGUAUAAAGUUAUCAGUUCUGGCCUUACUGUUCUACUCAUCCUCAUCUCGCUCAAUUUAGUCGAUUAAAAAAGCAGGCUUAAGGAAUGUUUCUAAAAUUUAUUAAAUGAGAAAAUUCUAUAAUGAAUUAUUGUAAUACUAAAACACAAGAUUACCCAAAAAUGUAAUAGAACCUUUAACAAACACAUGGAAUGCAAAACCCAUAUCUAAAAUGUUGGGGGAAAAAACAGGUUUUAAAUAUUUAUAAAACCUUUUAAGGACCGCUCUCAUAUAAUAUAUAGGAAUUUGUAAUCUAGAAAUCAUAUCUUGAAAAUCCGAGUUGGCUUUUUCCGCUGAAGUGAUUUAGGCUCCUAGAUCAUGAUCCGCCACCACCACUCCUGUUAGAUCACGAUCCGUCACCACCACGCUUGUUAGAUCACGAACUGUCACCAAUGAUCUUCCAGGUUAUGACUCAUGUUCGAUCUGCACUUGACGUGUGGGCGCCUUUAUCACUACCAAAGCAACUAGCACGAGAAAAUUUUUCUCUUAACAAUAGCGAGAAAAAUCUUAUUCUCUGAUCUGUAUAAAGUGGUUUCGCUAUCUUUCUUUAGAGAAAAUAAGCAUUUUAUAUGUCCCUUUAGUGAAAACCCUAAGCUCCAAAUAAUGAAAAUAAAAACUCACGUUACUUGCUUUUUCUAUAGGGGACCCACCAUGUAAAAUAACAUAAGGCCCCUUACACAUAAGCUAAUUAAAUGGAGCCUCCCACUAAAUGAUAUAUUUAGGCUUUUGACCCAAAUAGCUAGUUAUCUUGCUUAUUAGUCCAGUAGUGGUGCAGUCAAUUAAAUGAGCUAACCCGGGGAUCAUUUGGGAACAUACAAUAGUGGCUACAAUAAUUAGGCCUGUAAUUAAACUAGCCCAAUUAUUUAAUUCCAAAUCUACUCCACUAAAAGAUUGGAACUGACUUCCAUAAUUAUAUGCUCGAGUAAUAAUUCGUCCCAAGCCACAUUGAUUUCUUUACUGCACAAUCAUUUGUACCACAUCGUUAAUUAAAUCCACAUCGUUAAUUAAAUUGAUAUCUCAAUUGUCCAAUCAAUUUAAUAACAUCUUAUUCCUUGAUCCUUAUUGGUUUUCUCUAAUGAUCAUUUUCAACAUACUAAAUAUGUUGACACACUCUGGCCAGAAAAUUCUAUGAUCAAGUGCCGAAAACCCAUCAAGAGAUGUGUUGUACAAAUUUUAUAUUGUUAAUCCAUAACUCAAAUACUCAUAACUGCUCCCACCUAGAUACCGGGUAAUCUUAACCACAAGUAUGUGUCGUGCCCAUUGGUAACUCAAAUGGAAUAACAAUUACAAUCAUGAAAUCAUAAUUAACUCAAGAUUAAGAUUACAGUAAAAUCAAUGCCUAUGAGAUUUAAUAAGUCUGACAGUUAUUACAAAGUUAAUUAAAUCUCAUAUGUGAUCCUGUUCAAUGUAGUCGUACUACAUCAAUAAAUUCAUACAUGAUUAAGACAAAUCAUUCAAUGAAUUUAUUACAGUCUAUACCUAAAUAAAGUGCCCAACUUUAUUUAUCAACUGCGAACUAAAUUUAUUUAAUCAUAAGAUAACUUGUAUUUAUGUAUUCUGUGAAUCCACAUGGUGAUCACAUAAAUACAUAUAAUAUGAUUAAAUAGACUUUAAUAUAAAAUAUUAAUGCAAUUAAGAUAUUUGAAUAAAAUACCUAAUUUAUUUUAUUAAUCAGAAAAAUUAUUUAUUACAAUUAAAUAAACACAUAUACUUUUAAAGAGCAUAUUUUCCCAACAUUCACUACGUCAGGCCUUGUGUCGAUUAGAUAAAUCAGCAAUGCUGCGAAAAGUUGAUGUUUAAGGGGUGCAGUUACAGCAGGUACCACCUCAAGAUCUUGUAGGAACUUGCGGAGCCAUACAGCUUCUUUUGCAGCUUCGGAUGCAACCACAUAUUCAGAUUCAGUUGUGAAGUCUGCGAUACAAGAUUGUUUCACACUCCUCGAACUAAUAGCUCCACUUCCCAAUGUAAACACAUAGCCGGAAGUUGAUUUUCUAAAAUCCUUAUCUGACAAAAAAAUCAGAAUUAGUAUAUAUCUCUUCAGAUGUUUUAGGUGAUUGAUCCUUAGAGAAUGUAAUUCCAUGUCUGAAUGGUAAUAAACCAGUCUUGGAAUUUUCCAUGCUAAAUCUAGCCAAUAUCUUAUCGAUAUAGACCGCUUGAGACAAGGCUAAAGUUUUAUUCUUCCGGUCUCGUAGUAACUUGAUACCAAGAAUAUAACUUGCCUCUCCCAGGUCUUUCAUAUAAAAUUGUUUUGCUAAUCAACUCUUUAUUGUAGUCAAUACUCCUAUAUCACUGAGCCCCUAAAAGUACCAAAUUUACCCCUUCAAACUUUUUAAAUUCUCAAAAUACCCCACAGUUAAUUAGAAAACACAACCAACAAAAUUAAAAAAAUAACAAACACAACCAACGUUUCGACCCAUUGAUGCCUCCAUAAUCCAUUGCAGCCAAGAGGAAGAAUUUUUUAGUUGCAUCCAAGAAUGCCGAAUCUGAAGAAGCAGCUGCCACUAGAGAAAGAAAAGCAAAAGUCGAAUUCGAAGACACAUCGACAGACGCAUACGCAGACACCGGGGAAUCCGCUUCGUAUGAAGGAAGUAUUCGACUCAGAAUGCAAAGAUAGAGACGCAUCUGCAUCCGAAUCACCUAAAGCGGAAGUCUUCAUCCGAUGACACCACUUGUUGCCGUUGAUGGCCGUUGCAAGAGCACCGGUGCCGGUCAUGCUCAAAGUCAGCACGAUCGAUUCUAGCUUGCCAGUCGUCAUUGGUCUUUAUCGUCCAUGAUUUAGCCCGCUGCAGGUAACGACCUCAUCACCAUCUUUAAUGAGCAAAUCUCCACCUCUCCUUCUCCUCGUCGUCUUCGUCUUUAUCGGUCGUCUUCAAGAUGAUGAUGAUGAUGUCGACGUCGUGGAUGAUGAUGCCGACGUCGUGGAUGAUGAUGCCGCCACCGAUUCCCAUUUUUUGUUGCCGUUGAUGAUGACGACAAUGUUUUUUUUUUAUUGUUAUUUUUUUAAAUGGAUUAUUAUUAUUAUUAUUAACGAUAAAAUUUUUUUAAUUAAUAAUAUAUUAACAAUAAUUAAUAAUAACAAUAAUAAUUUUUGAGUUAAAUUGUUAAUAAUAAUAUUUAACAAUAAUAAUUAAGAAUAAUUAAUUUUUUAUUAAUAAUAAUCACAAUAAUUAAAUAUACAAAGUAAUAAUUAUGAUAAUAAUUAAUUAAGUACUUUAUGGUAGUUUGUUACAAUUUAACUUAUUUCGAUUAUGAUUUUAAAACAAAGUAAAUACAUUAAUUGUAGUAUAGCUUAUUCCAAUUACUAUUUUUAUAGUUCAAAUAAAUAAUUUAUUCUAAUUAUAAUUUCUCAUUUUAAUUCCAGUUCAUUUUGAUUUCAACUUAUUCUGAUUCUAUCUCAUUCUUAUUUAGUAAACAUAUCACAAAAUUGUAAACAUUUCAUAUAUUUUUACCCGUUUCUUCUUCCCCUCCCAUACUCUCUCUUUGUGGUGAGUUCUAAUAGUGGUUUCAAUUGUCGAUAAAAGUUGUUGAGGAAGAGAAAUUGAUAGUGGAGAGGGAUGAAUUCAAAGGGAAUUUGUUUUUUAUUUUGUUAAAUCUUUUAUCAUUAAAGUCUUAAUUAUUAUGAGAUGAUAUUGUAAAGAAGAUGAUUAAUCAUAUCCUUGAAAAUUUUAUUGAUGAUAAGUGAUGGAAGAUGAGCUAUUGUGAUUCCUCCAAGAGAGAAAAGAGUUUCUUUUAGUACUAAUUUUAGGUUUUUUUUAUCUUUUUAUUCAUAUUAGUGUGUUAUGAUGAUUAAUGUGUUGUGGUUGUAAACAAAAACUCCUUUAAUACUUAUAAAAAAUGGUAAAUAAAAAAUAGUGUGAAGUGAAAAAUUAAAUUUUAAUAGUGUAGGUAAAUAAAAAUAUUAUAAUACUUAUAAAUAAAUUAUAAAUAAAAUAGAGUACAGGGGGCACAAUGAGAUGUUACAAUAACUGAUGACAAAAGAUUGGAAGCUGAGUACAUGGGGCUUACUAGAUGUAAAUAAAAUAGAGUGCAAAGGGUUACAUGAAAUUUUAGAAUAUUUAAGUCACAAAAAACAAAAGUUGUUGUAACGUGCAACAAUGAUAAUCAUUAGGCGGACCAUAGUGAUUAUCACUCUUUUGGUUACACUUUUGAGCAAUGCUAAAUGAACAAAGAAAUGACAAAAGGACGACAGAAAUAAGUUUCUGUGGUCCUACUUCUGUUUCUCUUUUUUAUUAAAAUAACAAAGUUCAUGGGCUCUUUCCUUUCUCCCUCAUUACACUUAUUUUCUUGCUUCCUCAUUGCAACUCUCUCGUAUCCCAGCCGCCAGCCAUAGCCAUAAGCUGCACCGCACCAGCUGCUUUCUCCCAUCUCCACGCAGUUGCCUCAUUCCCAACAGUACAACAACAAUUCUCUUUUCUCUCAUACCCUCACAUACACAACUGUCUCAUCCAAUAAAUCGAUCUGUUAACAUCAGUUGGGUUUUGAAGGUGGGUUAUGAAGAAGUCAUUCAAGGCGAUCAAGCUUCACUCCAACUUCUAAAAGCUUUGAUCUAGCAAUAACACUGAGCCUUUGUUGUUGUUGUUCUCGGCUUUUGUUCUUGACUUUGCCAUCAGUCUCUUCCAUCAGCUUUGCGGCCCCUAAAUUUUUCUGGUUUGUUUAUCAAAUUUAUUGCCCACUAUUGCCAUAAAAAAAAAUUUAGAGUUUGUAACUUUCAUUGAAAUUCCCAUGCUUGUCAGUUAAAGUGAAGCAUUUUGUUUGUAAUUUUUGUAGUAUUUAAAGCGACUAUGUUGUUUAAUUAAUUAAUUUUCUUGCUCUACCCGUGUUUUGUUUUAAUUUGCUUCUUUGUGCUUCAAUCCUCAGCAGGAUACUUCUAAGGUUAAUUACAAAUUCAGUAAAGUUAAAUCUAAGUGGGCUGAAAAGAUUAAGCAAAAGCACACAACUUAGUAAACAAAUUAAUUUCGUUCAAAGCACCAAGUAAUACAAUCCAAAGAAAAAGGAAAAAAAGCACUACCCAUUCUUCAUUCUUAAAAAAAAAAAUACAAAGCUAUUUUGUGAAAUCACUUCUAAAGAGUUGAAUCACAAAUGUGAGAGAAAGAGUCAUCAAAUUAUUUUGAAACACUACUGCAAUUAUGUUGUGAGAAAAGAGACUGCUCCGGUGGAGCUUGUUGCAGCGGUUGGCAGCUUGAAGAGGAGAGAGAAAAAUUUGUGAUGAGGGAGAAAGGAAAGAGCCAGACGCGCGAAGGUGAUUGUUGGGUGCUUUUGUUGCGUGUGUGAGGUGUCCCACGCCUCAUAAGAGACAUUUCAUACUUUGUGCACAAUUUCGUGAGAGCAUCACUUUUAUUUUUUAAACUUAUUUUAUUAUUUAUUGUCAACCCCACAAAAUAAAUUAGAAAAAGAAACGCGAGAAACGGCAGCAUUGGCUACCGUUUCUGUCGUCUAUUUGUCUUUCAUUUGUUCGUUUAUCAUUUUCCUACACUUUUUCGAUAGACGUGAAUAAGAAACCUCGUGACUCGGCGCCCCAGCCGAGAAGGAAGGUUCCCUUGCACCUGAUCUGAUCCGCCGGCUUGACUUGGCCCAUUAGCACCAUCAGAUUCAGGACCCAUUUGAGUAUUAUUUUGCUGAUUUGGUGAUUGGGAGUCCUCUGAGGAGGAUGUAAAAUUUUCCUCCAUCCUCUCUGACUUUUCUUUAAAGGACCUGAGGCUACAUUCAAAGAAGCUCCGGCGCACUCCCAUUUUUUUCAUUUCCUCCAUAUAUUGUUGGGAUUUUGCCCUGGCUUUUUCCAGCAGUUCUUCAUUAGACUGGUUUGGCUUAUAAACAACUGCAUCAGGGCUUGUUAUCCUAGGCUCUUCACUGGACUGGCCAGUGUGGGUGCGUUUGCGCUUGUGCUUUGAUUCUGAUUGUUGUGGCUGGCGUAAUUGACAUUGGCUUUUUUGGUUUUGGUCUGGAGAUUCAACUUUUGAUUUUGGUGUAUGAGUGGCUUUGAUACGACCUCAAAUGAAUAUUUGUCGGUAUAACGAGGUUUCCACCUUUUGAGCAGGUGUGAGCUCCACAAGAACAGAGAGAAAAUAAUAGAGAUAAGAAAGAAAGAAACUUUUGUGUAUUAUAUUCAUGUCCAGCUCACGCCUUUCCACUUUACAUAUAUCCUUUCCAUUCUACUACUUUUUUGUGUAACUAACCAAUUGCAAUAAUAAAACAAAAUAAAAGAAAUCACAGCUGUCCUCAUAGAAUAAUUCUCCCGAAUAUUCCCCUAGGUGAUAUAGUCCUUGAGAUAUUCUGGAGUUUUGCGAACACGAGCUGGUCGUUGCAAUGUUUACUCCACUUCUUGCAUUUCAACUACAAGGCCAUCUUCAAGCUCCCUUACUUUAAUGGGCCAGGAUGUAUCACUCCCCUCCCCUUGAGAAUGAACCUUGUCCUCAAGGUUAAACUUUGGGUACAGUCUGCAGAACUAAGCAAAGUCUUCCCAAGUUGAAUUCUCAGGAGCACAGCCAGACCACUGAACCAAAAUUUGAUAAUGCUUUUUUCCUUGUUUUAAUAUGAAUCGGUCAGCAAGUAUAGUUAUAGGAGUAGAGACAGGGUUGUUGUCAAUGGUAUAAGGAGGCAAAGAUGCAACAUAAACAGUCGAGUUUCCCACAUAAGGUUUGAGUGCUGAAAUGUGAAAUACCGGGUGAACUUUGCAUUCUUCAGGCAAUUGCAGCUUAUAAGCAACAGCUCCGAUUUGUUUUGAUACUCGAAAAGGGGCCAUAAUAUCAUUUAGCCAACUUUUAAGAAGCACGCUUAGCCACUGAAAUUUGUCUAUGAGGUUGAAGGCGGACCAAAACAAGAUCACCAAUCUGUAACUGGAGUUCUUGUCGAUGGGCAUUGGCUUUUUGUUCCAUACGAUGCUGAGCUUGAAGUAAAUUAGUUUUUAAAGUUCUCAACAAUUCAUCUCGCUCCAACAACAGAUCUUCUAAGGCUUGAAUCGAAGUAGAACCUUUUGUAUAUCCAGGAAUUGUGGGGGGUAAUCUCCCAUAGAGUGCUUGAAAAUGUGUCAUCUUCAAUCUACUGUGAUAGCUUGUGUUGUAACAAAAUUCAGCCCAGCCUAACAAGCUUGACCAUGAUUGCGGUUUGUCUUGAGUAAAGGCUCUUAAGUACUGUUCGAGGCCACGAUUCACUACCUCUGUUUGGCCGUCAGUUUGAGGGUGAUAAGCACUAUUGUGCCGCAAUGUAGUGCUACUUAACUCAAAUAGUUUUUGUUAAAAAUUACUCAUGAAUAUAGGAUCUCGAUCUGAUAUUAUUGAGCUUGGAAACCCAUGUAACUUGACUACCAAAUCAGCAAAAAGAUUGGCUGUUUUGCUGGUUGUGAACAGAGAUGGCAGUGCACCAAAGUGGGUUGAUUUCGUUAAGCGAUCCACUACCACCAAGAUUUCCUUGAAGCCUUUAGAAGUUGGCAAGCUUGUAAUAAAAUCCAUAGUUAAAUCAUCCCAAACAAGUGAAGGAACGGGUAAAGGUUGAAGUAAUCUAGCAGGUGCUUGAGUAGAAUUUUUAAUAUGCUGACAUGUAAGACAGGCAACAAUGUAGUUCUCAACAUCAAAGCGCAUUUUUGGCCAAAAAAAGUAGAAGAAAGCCGAACUAGGGUGCGUUUCACGCCUGCAUGCCCUGCCAUGGGGGAGUCAUGGAAUUCCUUAAGAAGCGUGCUCUUUAAUUUGGAGUGAGGACUGACGUAGUAUCGAUGGUUGUAAAGUAAUAGUCCCUCACGAACCAAGAAGCCUGAAGAAAGUUCUCCCACAACAAACUUGUUAUGAAGUAACAACAGAUCAGGUAAGGACGAAUUGUCCUCAUGCAAAGUGGUUAGGAUAUCCACGGUUGGCUUGGAGAUUAUCGAGAACAACUCAGCUUGAGAAUUUAUGGAGUCGGAAAAUUGAUCUGCAUGUACUCGAGAUAAGGCAUCAGCAACCUUAUUGGAACUUCCCGGCUUAUACUCAAUUCGAAAAUGAAAACCGAACAAUUUCCUGACGUAAGCUUGUUGUUCAGGAGUUUGAAUUACCUGUUGAAACAACUCUUUAAUGCUUUUAUGAUCGGUUCUGAUGAUGAAAAAUCAACCGAGUAAGUAUUGGCGCCAUUUUUGUACAACAGCAACAAUAGCGUGCAGUUCUUUGAUAUAAGUUGAGGCAACCCGCAAUUAAGGACCCAACUUUCGACUAAAAUAAGAAAUGGGAUGACCCUGUUGCAUCAAUACUGCUCCAAUUCCAAUAUUAGAAGCAUCCGUCUCUAGAAUAAAUUCAAGCUCAAAAUUGGGUAAAUGCAAUACCGGGGCAGCCACCAUUGCAUUUUUUAAAGUCAUAAAGGCAUCUGAAGCUGCUGGAGACCAAUGUAAUGCCUCUUUACACAAUAAAUCUGUCAAUGGGGCCGCAAUUGAAACAUAACCUUGGAUAAAUCGGCGAUAAUAGCCUGUGAGUAGUAGAAAGCCCCGUAGUUGCUUGACAGUCUGCGGUAAUGGCCAUUCCACCAUGGCUGCAAUUUUUUUAAGGUCCGCCUUUACUCCCCUAGCAGUCACUAUAUGGUCCAAAUAAUCAAUAACUUCUUGGCAAAACAGACACUUCGACAACUUGACAUAAAACUGAUGUUCUUGCAAACGAAACAAAACCUGUUCCAAGUGAUUGACAUGAGCAGUCAAUGAAGAACUAUAAACCAAAAUGUCAUCGAAAAAAACAAUAACAAAUUUGCGUAAGUAAGAUGCAAAUAGUUGAUUCAUAGUUGCUUGAAAUGUCGAGGGGGCAUUAGUUAAACCGAAUGGCAUGACCAGAAAUUCGUAAUGCCCUUUAUGAGUACGAAAUGUUGUUUUAUAAGUAUCUCGCUUAUGAACUCGGAUCUGGUGGUAACCAGCUCGCAAAUCCAGCUUGCUGAAAAUCCGUGCUCUUCCUACCUCAUCAAAUAAUUCAUCAAUUGUGGGAAUAGGAAAUUUAUCCGGCACUGUGACUGCAUUCAAGGCUCGAUAAUCGACACAAAACCUGUAUGUGCCAUCCUUUUUCUUGACCAACAAAACGGGAGAGGAGAAAGGGCUGUGACUUGGCUUUAUGAUCCCCUAUUCUAACAUUUCCUUGACUAGUUUUUCCAUUUCUGUUUUUUGAAAAUGAGGAUAUCUAUAGGGCCUCACAUUCACUGGCUUUGAAGUAGGCAGGAGGUGGAUUUUAUGGUCAAUGAGUAUAUGAGGAGGUAGACCCAUAGGUGGUAAAAAUAAGGUUUAUUGUUGAAGGAGAAUAAUGAUUUGUUCGGGUAACUAGGUGGGAAGGUGAAGUUCCGAGAGUGAGAAAUGUGUAUCGGAAUCAAGUGUGUCAUUGAUAAUGGGAUGCAGCUCAAAUAAUGAAUGCACGACAUCUGUAGAUAACAAGGCAUGAAAUUGAUGGAAGGAAAUCAUAUUAGGAGUUUGGAUGGGGUCACCUCGUAAAAUGAUUGGAUUGCUCUCCCAACAAAAUUCCAUAGUCAUUGCACGGUAGUCUGUAGAUAUUUUACCAAGAUGUUGAAGCCAUUGGAUUCCCAAGACAACAUCGGGACCUUCAAUUGGCAAUAUAUAGAAAUCCAACGUGAAAGUGUAACCCUGUAUCACAAGUGGCACUUGAAGACAUUGAAAACGGAAAAUUAAGAAGUCGCCAUUACCAAUAUACACCCGAAAAGCAGGGAUGGAUUGAAUUUUCAGGCCAAGUCGUUCUGCCCAUUGUGGUUUGAUGAAGUUAUGUGUACUGCCACUAUCUAUUAAAACAUGUAAGUAUUGGCGGCCAAUUUCGCCUAUUACCCUCAAGGAACGUGGGUUAAAUUGCCCAGCUAGGGCAUUUAAGUUGGAUAUAUCCGCUGUCACAAUUUCCUCUGUUUGUUCAAGUAAGGGAGACUUCUCCGAUGGGUCAUUGUCAUUAUCAUCUGUGCCUAACAACAAGAGAAAUUUACUACAGCAAUGAUGGUUUGCACUAUAUUUUUUGUCGCAAUUGUAACACAACCCCUUGUCUCUUUUUUCUUUUAAUUCCACCAGGGAGAGACGACAGAUGGGGAGGGCUGGAGUGGGUAAAAGUGGCGGUGGUGGUAUUGGUUUUGGGGUAGGUAAAAGUGGCGGUUGGGAUGAUGGUUUUGGAGUAGCAAAACUGGUAUGUGGAUAAGUGGAAGGAAAUUUAUUGUGGACAUGGUGAGUGAGAGCAGGGGUGGUUUGUUAUGGUGGAGGAGUAACAUCAUUCCAUUUUGUCCAAGGACGGCCUGAAAUUUUUGACUCCUCAGAUUUAGCUUCAUAUACUCGUGCUAGAGCAAAGGCUUCCAUGAGGGACGUGGGUCUGCCAAACAACAACUCUCGCCGAACGUCAGGUUUUAAGCCAGUGAUAAAGAAACUAUCAGUAACUGCUCGGAAAUGCCUGUGACUUUAUUCAUCAACUCUUCAAAUUGAAACUCUGCGACUGUAGAUGUUUGUGUGAGCUUGGACAAAUUGCCCUGAUGAUCUUCAUACGUAGAAGCACCAAAACGUUGUUUGAGAUUGAUUAAAAAACUUUGCCAAGUGCUCAAUAGAUUGUUGGCUUUCAUCCACUGAAACCAUGCAGCAGCUUUUCCUUCCAUGUGAAAAGAAACAAUAUGUAACCGUAGAUGGUCCGGGGUGCCAUGAAAAUAAAAAAAUUCAUUGAUUCAAAAAUCCCAUCCAUUUGGAUCAGUGCCAUCAAACUUUGGAACCUCCAUUUUCAUGGAGCGUAACAGAGGUGAAUUAUCCGUACAACUAACAAGAGUAGUGGACGGUGUUGGGAAAGUCGUCGACGAUGUCGGAACCGUAGUCGAAGAUGACGGUGUUGACGCCGGAGGACGUGAUGAACCUCCUGAAACUCCAAUAGAACUACCGAUUUGGGACCGGAGCUCCUCAAAACGAGAAUCAACCGUGGACAUAUAUUUUUGGAGGUUUUGAUGAACAACCAGCGUGUGGCUUUCAAGAAGUGUUUGCAUCUUAGAAAUAAUCUCAGGAUCUGUUGUGGCCUCUUGGUUGGUCAUUGUUGCAGAGAAAUAAGAAGUAGAUGACAGAGAAUGACAAGGAGAAGAAAAAAAAGGCAAUGAAAGCACCAGUUGAUACGACCUCAGAUGAAUAUUUGUCGGUAUCACGAGGUUUCCACCUUUCGAGCAGGUGUGAGCUCCACAAGAACAGAGAGAAAAUAAUAGAGAUAAGAAAGAAAGAAACUUUUGUGUAUUAUAUUCAUGUCCAGCUCACGCCUUUCCACUUUACAUAUAUCCUUUCCAUUCUACCACUUUUUUAUGUAACUAACCAAUUGCAAUAAUAAAACAAAAUAAAAGAAAUCACAGUUGUCCUCAUGGAAUAAUUCUCCCGAAUAUUCCCCUAGGUGAUAUAGUCCUUGAGAUAUUAUGGAGUUUUGCGAACACGAGCUGGUCGUUGUAAUGUUUGCCCCACUUCCUGUAUUUCAACUACAGGGCCAUCUUCAAGCUCCCUUACUUUAAUGGGCCAGGAUGUAUCAGGCUUGGAUACGUGUGGUUUCUGUUUGGGUUUCAUCAGGCUUCUGCUUAGGAGAAGGGUCUUUCUCAGGACUAGUACCACUCAUGAUUUGUUCUCAGUAAAAUAUUUGCUCAGUGUAAAUGACUAGUUAGCUAAUCUAAUUGACGUUUGCUACAUAGACUUGAUAGAUAAGCAUUCAUAUUCAUGAUGGAUGAAGGAGGGGUGAAACUUCUUCUCUAUUUCUCUCUAUUUCCCCACCAGAAUUGAGAGAGAUGGUCAGGGCGUGGUGUGUCAGUGGUAGUGAGAAACAUGGUGCGGGGGUGUUUGUGGCGGUAUG